rnacentral:rRNA from 1 species
GACGAACGCUGGCGGCGUGCUUAACACAUGCAAGUCGAACGGCAAGGCCCUGCUUUCGUGGGGUGCUCGAGUGGCGAACGGGUGAGUAACACGUGUGUAACCUGCUCUUCACUUUGGGAUAACUUCAGGAAACUGGGGCUACUACCGGAUAGGAGACGCUGCUGCAUGGUGGGGGUUGGAACGUUUCGGCGGUUGGGGAUGGAUUCGCGGGUUAUCAGCUUGUUGGUGGGGUAGUGGCUUACCCAGGCAGUGACGGAUCGCCGGCUUGUGAGGGGGACCGGCGACAUGGGGACUGAGAUACGGCCCAGACGCCUACGGUAGGCAACGGGGGGAAGUAUGACACAAUGAGCGGGAGCCUGAGGCGGCGACGCCGCGGUCGUGAUGACGGCCUGCGGGGUAUAAACCGCAGUCGCCUGUUACGAAGCGGGAGUGACGGUAAUGAAAAAAGAAGCACCGGCUAACUACGUG